AUUGAACGCUGGCGGCAGGCCUAACACAUGCAAGUCGAACGAGUGGCGGACGGGUGAGUAAUGUCUGGGAAACUGCCUGAUGGUGGGGGAUAACUACUGGAAACGGUAGCUAAUACCGCCUACCAUCUGAUGUGCCCCGAUGGGAUUAGCUAGUAGGUGGGGUAAAGGCUCACCUAGGCGACGAUCCCUAGCUGGUCUGAGAGGAUGACAAGCCACACUGGAACUGAGACACGGUCCAGACGCCUACGGGAGGCAGCAGUGGGGAAUAUUGCACAAUGGGCGCAAGCCUGAUGCAGCAAUGCCGCGUGUAUGAAGAAGGCCUUCGGGUUGUAAAGUACUUUCAGCGGGGAGGCGUUACCCGCAGAAGAAGCACCGGCUAACUCCGUGCCAGCCGCCGCGGUAAUUC
rnacentral:rRNA from 1 species